GACGAACGCUGGCGGCGUGCUUAACACAUGCAAGUCGAACGAAGAGCGAUGGAAGCUUGCUUCUAUCAAUCUUAGUGGCGAACGGGUGAGUAACGCGUAAUCAACCUGCCCUUCAGAGGGGGACAACAGUUGGAAACGACUGCUAAUACCGCAUACGAUCUAACCUCGGCAUCGAGGAAAGAUGAAAGGUGGCCUCUAUGUAUAAGCUAUCACUGAAGGAGGGGAUUGCGUCUGAUUAGCUAGUUGGAGGGGUAACGGCCCACCAAGGCGAUGAUCAGUAGCCGGUCUGAGAGGAUGAACGGCCACAUUGGGACUGAGACACGGCCCAGACUCCUACGGGAGGCAGCAGUGGGGAAUCUUCCGCAAUGGACGAAAGUCUGACGGAGCAACGCCGCGUGAGUGAUGACGGCCUUCGGGUUGUAAAGCUCUGUUAAUCGGGACGAAAGGCCUUCUUGCGAAUAGUUAGAAGGAUUGACGGUACCGGAAUAGAAAGCCACGGCUAACUACGUGCCAGCAGCCGCGGUAAUACGUACGUGGCAAGCGU
rnacentral:rRNA from 1 species